GGUCUUUUAUGGAUAUGGAGGAAGGGGUGCUCCUAGGUGUGUGUAGGGGUUGUGUUUGUUCGCGAGAAAAGAUUUCUCGUAAAGUAAGUUUGGGGGGUGUGGACACACUUGCGCGAAUUCGGGUAACGGCUACAAGGGAGAAAU